CAAACACUAUGCUUUAGUGCCAGCCAGAGCAGCUGCUGAUACAUUGACAAAGAAGGAGAAAACAUGAGAUGGAACAUAUCAGAAAUAUUAAUAAAGGAAGAGAACUUACUGAUGUGUUGCAAAACCUUUCCAAGCUUUGAUUAGGGAGAAGAUAGUGAUAUCCAAAGCUAACAAGUCAGAAGUAAGCUACAAAACCAAACCAGAAUCAUCGAGAACUAAAUGCCAAAGCACAUGACAUCAUUAUGGUAUCACAU